CUACACCCCCUAACCUUCUAAAUCAUCGACCCAUAACCCAUAACCCUUCUAAAGACGCAAUGUGAUUUAUUUCCAUUGCUUUGCAUGUCAAAGUGAAGAAAUUCAACCAAGUGCAGGUAAAUGACGAGAGUAACUAUGAAUAUAUUAAGGUAUCCAUAUGCUUCGUCAUCUAAUUAAUGAUGCACAUCAAUGGAUCAUUAACGAGAUUCCCCUCUGUCCCUAGCUAUAAACCCCAUCCAAGGAAAUGGGAUUGGUAGAGUUAGCAGGGAAAGAAGACCCUCAUGUUGAUAUUGACUCUAGUCCUAACCCAUUCAUAGUUUGGGA
rnacentral:ncRNA from 1 species